UACAGAGGGUGCGAGCGUUAAUCGGAAUUACUGGGCGUAAAGCGCGCGUAGGCGGCUUUGCAAGUCGGGUGUGAAAUCCCCAGGCUUAACCUGGGAACUGCAUUCGAGACUGCAUUGCUAGAGUAUGGGAGAGGGAAGUGGAAUUUCCGGUGUAGCGGUGAAAUGCGUAGAUAUCGGAAGGAACAUCAGUGGCGAAAGCGGCUCACUGGCCCGGUACUGACGCUGAGGUGCUAAAGCGUGGGGAGCAAACAGG
rnacentral:rRNA from 1 species